rnacentral:rRNA from 1 species
AGAGUUUGAUCAUGGCUCAGGACGAACGCUGGCGGUGCGCCUUAUGCAUGCAAGUUGAGCGAAGCUUUUUUGUAGUUUACUACGAAAAAUGACUGAGCGGCGAACGGGUGAGUAACGCGUGAGCAAUCUACCUUAGUUACUGGGAUAGCCCGAGGAAACUCGGAUUAAUACCGGAUAUUCUUAUUUUUUCACAUGAAGUUUUAAGGAAAGGUCAGCCGAACUAAGAUGAGCUCGCGUUCUAUCAGCUAGUUGGUGGGGUAAAAGCCUACCAAGGCUACGACGGAUAGCUGGUCUGAGAGGACGAUCAGCCACACUAGGACUGAGACACGGCCCAGACUCCUACGGGAGGCUGCAGCAGGGAAUAUUGUGCAAUGAGCGAAAGCUUGACACAGCGACACCGCGUGUGGGAUGACGGUUCUAGGAUUGUAAACCACUUUCAGGAGGGAAGAAAAUGACGGUACCUCCACAAGAAGACCCGGCCAACUAUGUGCCAGCAGCCGCGGUAAUACAUAGGGGUCAAGCGUUGUCCGGAUUUAUUGGGCGUAAAGAGCUCGUAGGCGGUUCAACAAGUCGGUCGUAAAAGUUUAGGGCUCAACCCUAAAAUGUCGAUCGAUACUGUUGUGACUAGGAUACGGUAGAGGUGAAUGGAAUUCCGAGUGUAGCGGUGAAAUGCGUAGAUAUUCGGAGGAACACCAAUUGCGAAGGCAGUUCACUGGACCGUGAUCGACGCUGAGGAGCGAAAGCUAGGGGAGCAAACAGGAUUAGAUACCCUGGUAGUCCUAGCUGUAAACGAUGGAUACUAGAUGUAGGAACUGGAUUGACGGUCUCUGUAUCGUAGCUAACGCGUUAAGUAUCCCGCCUGGGGAGUACGGUCGCAAGAUUAAAACUCAAAGGAAUAGACGGGGACCCGCACAAGCGGUGGAGCAUGUGGUUUAAUUCGACGAUACGCGAAGAACCUUACCUGGACUUGACAUAUAUACAGGUGCUGCACGGCUGUCGUCAGCUCGUGUCGUGAGAUGUUGGGUUAAGUCCCGCAACGAGCGCAACCCUCGUCCUUAGUUGCUAACAGUUCGGCUGAGAACUCUAAGGAGACUGCCUGGGUAACCAGGAGGAAGGUGAGGACGACGUCAAGUCAUCAUGGCCCUUACGUCCAGGGCUACACACGUGCUACAAUGGGGCAUACAAAGAGCUGCGAUACCGCGAGGUGGAGCAAAUCUCAAAAAUGCCUCCCAGUUCGGAUAGCACUCUGCAACUCGAGUGCUUGAAGUUGGAAUCGCUAGUAAUCGUAGAUCAGCAAUGCUCCGGUGAAUACGUUCCCGGGUCUUGUACUCACCGCCCGUCACACCAUGGGAGUUGAACUCAUUCGAAGCCGGGGAUGCUAACUGUGUUACCUUAAGGAAUUUAUUUCUUAAGAAGCCAGAGGCUACCCUCCACAGUGGAUUCAGCGACUGGGGUGAAGUCGUAACAAGGUA